rnacentral:misc_RNA from 1 species
UGAUCCAAAAGCCUCAGCAAUCCACAUCGCUCAGCACAACUUUUUGAUAUUAUUGUGGACUGAGCACCACUAUCAACAAAUGCCUUUAAAGGUACACCGUUAACUUCCAUGUCAACGUACAACAUAACCACCCUAGCAAAAGCUUCAGGGUUGUAUUCCAAGGCAGCUGCCCAGUUUUCAUCAAUUCCUUUCUGGCGAAUGGCAGCCUCAAUUUUCUUCUGUGCCUCAACAUCAAAAGGAUCAGCAUCAAGAAGGGCAAGCUCCUCCUCUUGUUGGAGCCGUAAUUCGGAUCUUUGGCGAUGCCGUUGCCGUAAGAGGUCCUGCAGUUUGCUGAGAUCAUUGCCAAGAAGAACUUGUGCUAGUUCAGGAUCAGUCUGAAACAGUUGGGCCAUCAAAUUAGAAUCACGUCGAAUAUGUUGCUGGAAAGCCUCAGGAUUUACAGCAGACCCAUCAGGAUUGAAGCUCAAAUCAUUUGCGGGUGAACUAUGUGCAGCGCUGGUGGAGACCAUCAUUACCAAAUCCUCAUCCUUAACGCCCAAUGCACUCAAUUUCUCAUUAUUCCUCAUUUCUCUCCCAUUAUAAAGCAGCUGCUGCUGCUGAAGCGGCACCUGUGUCUCCACUUCAAGCAGAGCUUUCAAGUUCUCAACAGAUUCAUGAGGAUCGACAUCUAGAGAUAUGAUGUGUUCAUCAGCUGUCAUGACAGUGAUUCUCAUCUUUCUCCGUGUCUUGUCUUGUGAUUGGAUUUGGUGUGCUCGUGCUUCUA